CAGCCGCCGCGGGAAUACGAAGGGGGCUAGCGUUGCUCGGAAUUACUGGGCGUAAAGCGCACGUAGGCGGAUCAGAAAGUCAGAGGUGAAAUCCCAGGGCUCAACCUUGGAACUGCCUUUGAAACUCCUGAUCUUGAGGUCGAGAGAGGUGAGUGGAAUUCCGAGUGUAGAGGUGAAAUUCGUAGAUAUUCGGAGGAACACCAGUGGCGAAGGCGGCUCACUGGCUCGAUACUGACGCUGAGGUGCGAAAGCGUGGGGAGCAAACAGGAUUAGAUACCCCCGUAGUCCCUGUCUCUUAUAC
rnacentral:rRNA from 1 species